UCCACACAAUAACAAUAAAUCCACAUAGAGGAAAGUAGUUACACACAUUGACGUUCACAUUAACAAUACCUGACAAAACUAAACUGAACGAACACGAACUUAAGUACACCAGCAAACUGGGAAAAUUAACAGGACACAGGGGAACCAAAUUACAUAAUCAGACAUGAGGGAAAACUAGGUCAUGGAACACGAGGAAUGAAAAACAAACAAAAGUCCAUGUGGUGGUGACAAACAGUACUGCAGCCAGACAUGAUCAUUGCUUUGUGAGCCCAGCUGAGUGGUCAGCUGUAGGGGCUUUAUAGGAUGGUCACUUUGUAAAGAUUUCAGUUGGCUGGGGAUCACGGGGAAGCAAAAAGAACAGCCAUCAAAUCCAUAUGUGAAGCUGCAGAAAAAAAUAAAAUACAAUAGGUGGCUUUAGAUCAAGAGGGCUGAUCCAUGUGCAGCUGUAUACUGGGGCGCAGACUGAGGCCUGAUCAACCCUGGCUGGGUCACCUGGAAGAGGGUAUUUGAUGUUGAAAGACCCGACACACCAGAGGACCCCAGGGAACAUCAUUGAUGAUGCAUCCCAGUGCAACAGGACGAUUUCCUUUUAGAAGUACAGCAACAUCCAAAACCUUGUUUAGGAAGGCAACAAAUCACAUACGAAUUCUGCUGGUGUUGCAGAGCAUUUCUGGAAAGACCAAACUGACAACAAAGAAAAAUUGAUCAUCAAAUGUUCUGAAUUGUUUGCAUUCAAAGAUAUAUACUAAAAUCAGUACUUUUGAAUUAUACUCCAAUGAAUAAAGUGUGCAUCAAGAAUUCAUAGUGACAUUAAUUCAUUAUGUUCAGAAUGAUAUUCAUAUUUCAACCUAGAGAUUGUUAGAUUUACAUGUAGAGCAUCUGCAACACCUCCUUCAUAUUCAGAAUGUCAAAGGAUUGGCACAUCAAUUG
ensembl:lncRNA